GAUGAACGCUGGCGGCGUGCUUAACACAUGCAAGUCGAACGGAAAGUCCCAAGCUUGCUUGGGUACUCUAGUUGCGAACGGGUGACUAACACGUGGGUUAUCUGCCCUGCACUUCGGGAUAAGCCUGGGAAACUUGGUCUAAUACCAGAUAGGACCACAUUUUGUUGGGUGUGGUGGAAAGUUUUUCGGUGUGGGAUGAGCUCGCGGCCUAUCAGCUUGUUGGUGGGGUAAUGGCCUACCACGGCGUCGACGGGUAGCCGGCCUGAGAGGGUGUACGGCCACAGUGGGACUGAGACACGGACACGACUCAUACGGCAGGCAGCAGUGGGGAAUAUUGAUAAAUGGGCGCAAGCGUGAUGCAGCUCCGCCGAGGGGGGGAUGAUGGCGUUCGGGUUGUAAUUGCAUUUCGCUAGGGACGAAGAGUUUUGUGACGGUACCUGGAGAAGAAGCACCGGCUAACUACGUG
rnacentral:rRNA from 1 species